UAUCCCUUGCUUUGCGAGGCUGGUUCGCCCCCGCCAUGGGCCUGGAGCUCUACCUGGACCUGCUGACCCAACCCUGCCGCGCCGUCUACAUCUUCGCCAAGAAGAACGGCAUCCCCUUCGAGCUGCGCUCCGUGGACCUGCGCAAAGGCCAGCACCUCAGUGAUGUCUUUGCCCAGGUGAACCCCCAGCAGAAGGUGCCUGCGUUGAAGGGCGGGGACUUCAUUUUGACCGAGAGUAUGGCCAUUCUGCUCUACCUGGCCCGCAAGUAUAAGGUCCCUGACCACUGGUACCCCCAGGACCACACAGGCCUGUGCCCGUGUGGAUGAGUACCUGGCCUGGCAGCACACAACCCUGCGGAGAAACUGCCUCCAGGUCCUGUGGCAUAAGGUGAUGCUCCCUGUUUACCUGGGUGAGCCGGUCUCUCCCGAGAUGCUGACAGCCACGCUGGCAGAGUUGGACGUGACCCUGCAGGUGCUUGAGGACAAGUUCCUCCAGAACGAGGCCUUUCUCGCUGGGUCCCACAUCUCUCUGGCUGACCUGAUAGCCAUCACGGAGCUCAUGCAUCCUGUGGGUGCCGGCUGCCGAGUCUUUGAAGGCCGACCCAAGCUGGCUGCGUGGCACCAGCUCGUGGAGGAAGCAGUGGGGGAGGUCCUCUUCCAGGAGGCCCAUGAGGUCAUCCUGAAGGCCAAGGACUCCCAGCCUGCAGACCCCACCAUUAAGCGGAAGUUGAUGCCUAGGGUGCUGUCCAUGAUCCAGUGAGCUGGGAAGCCUCUGCUCUGCCCUUGGCAGUUCACAAAGCACCUUCCUUUCCAUGUCCCAUGGGGGGCAGACCCAGAGAGCAGGCGUGACCUGCCUGAGUCCCACUGCCCCUCUGCUCCCUGGGCCAGGUCCCCACUCAUUUUCCACAGCUGCCUAAAAGCCACGACGAGAAUGGCAUACCCAGACCUUGUCUCCUUUAAUCACUGCAUCUUCUUUUCAGUUUGGGAAAUAAACCUGGGCUCAGCCUGAGCCUCUGCUUC